ensembl:lncRNA
GGGAUCUUCCCAAGGUUUGACCCAGGGAUCAAACCCAAAUCUCCUGCAUUGGCAGGUGGAGUCUUUACUGCUGAACCACCAGGGAAGCCCAUUCGUGGCUUUAAAAGUAUACAGCACUUUUGUUGGAGAGUGCUGGGCUUGUUGCCUGUUUCUUUCUCUUCCUUACUUCUCAAGAGGGUGCCCGAUCACACUAAGUGGCAUAGCUUUGGUCACUACGUGUCGAUGACCUUCCUCUCCAAUCAUCUCCUUGAGGGGGCCCUCAGGUGUCUCUGACUCCAUCUGCUCAUCCUUCCUCCGUGGUUCCUCGGUCCCCACACUUGGUCCACCCCUGAGACCUGUCUGCCUCCUGAAGCUGCCUGUUUCCACCUGUUCCCCGGGGCCUCCGUCCUAAUUCAAGCCGGUGGACAGCCAGCCACACGGGUCUCCCUGUUGGCCCUCUGCUUCCUCUCAUGUCCUCGUUGCUGUGUGCUUGCCCUGGUGGACCUGCUGAUCACCUCCCACUAAAUCUGCUAUAUCAUGAUUUCAGACAAUGGUUACACAACUUGUAUGCGUAUGUCAAAACUCAGAGAACCAUGUAAAGGCAGAAUUUUACUCUAUGUAAAUAAUACCUCAAUAUAUUUAACUAAAAAUAGAAACCCAGACUUCCCUGGUGAUCCAAAGAUAAAGAAUCUGCCUGCAAAUGCAGGGGACACGCGUUCAGUCCCUGAUCAGGGAGUAUUCCACAUGCUGCAGGGCAACUAAGCCCGUCUGCCGAAACCACUGAAGACCAUGUGCCCUAGAACCCGGGCUCUGUAACAAGAGAAGUCACUGCAAUGAGAAGCUCCAGCACGGCAGCUGGAGAGCAGCCCCCACUCACCACAGCUGCAGAGAGCCCACGCACAGCAAUGGAGACCCAGCACAGCCAUAAAAAAUAAAAUUUAAAAAAAC